GGGCGUAAAGGGCUCGCAGGCGGUUUCUUAAGUCUGAUGUGAAAGCCCCCGGCUCAACCGGGGAGGGUCAUUGGAAACUGGGGAACUUGAGUGCAGAAGAGGAGAGUGGAAUUCCACGUGUAGCGGUGAAAUGCGUAGAGAUGUGGAGGAACACCAGUGGCGAAGGCGACUCUCUGGUCUGUAACUGACGCUGAGGAGCGAAAGCGUGGGGAGCGAACAGGAUUAGAUACCCUGGUAGUCCACGCCGUAAACGAUGAGUGCUAAGUGUUAGGGGGUUUCCGCCCCUUAGUGCUGCAGCUAACGCAUUAAGCACUCCGCCUGGGGAGUACGGUCGCAAGACUGAAACUCAAAGGAAUUGACGGGGGCCCGCACAAGCGGUGGAGCAUGUGGUUUAAUUCGAAGCAACGCGAAGAACCUUACCAGGUCUUGACAUCCUCUGACAAUCCUAGAGAUAGGACGUCCCCUUCGGGGGCAGAGUGACAGGUGGUGCAUGGUUGUCGUCAGCUCGUGUCGUGAGAUGUUGGGUUAAGUCCCGCAACGAGCGCAACCCUUGAUCUUAGUUGCCAGCAUUCAGUUGGGCACUCUAAGGUGACUGCCGGUGACAAACCGGAGGAAGGUGGGGAUGACGUCAAAUCAUCAUGCCCCUUAUGACCUGGGCUACACACGUGCUACAAUGGACAGAACAAAGGGCAGCGAAACCGCGAGGUUAAGCCAAUCCCACAAAUCUGUUCUCAGUUCGGAUCGCAGUCUGCAACUCGACUGCGUGAAGCUGGAAUCGCUAGUAAUCGCGGAUCAGCAUGCCGCGGUGAAUA
rnacentral:rRNA from 1 species